GCGAGAAUCCACAUCUCGCGGCCAAAGAAUCCACUGCACUAGCUGUGCACCCCAUUGCCAAUUAAUAUAGAAUUUGCUGCCCCCCGCGGCCAAUCGCCCACAGGGGCUCUCUCGCAGCCUCUCAGAGUGAUUCAGUUGCUUGCCUGCCGGUCGAUCGGUCGAGAUGCCCCUAUAUAAAGAGCCCCAGAUGCACAGCCAUGGCCGCCAGAAUCAAAUGUUCUAACACCUCUCUCACGAUGUCGAUGAGGAGGAAGAGGAGGAGGAGGAAGAAGAAGAGGUGCCAAGAACAGCAGCUUGAUCGGCUGUGUGCGAGUGUGUGUGUGUUUGAGUGUGCCAGGAAGCUAGCUAGCUAGCUAGCUAAGCUGCAGCUGCACGCAGCAGGCCGGGGUGAAGCUAGCUAGCAUGCUUGCCAUGGCUUCCGCCGGGAGCGGUAGUAGCUCCGGUGGCCGGGGUGCUGGUCCGGCGGUGCAGCGGCGGCGGCAGAAGAAGAAGAAGAAAGAAGGCAAGUCUUAUCGGCAAGGGAAGGCUAAGCCUUUCUUCCAGGUCUCCCUCUCUCCAUCUAAAUCUGUGUUUGGAGGAGGAGGAGGAGGGGGCUAUCGUGUUAGCUAAAUUUUUUCUUUUCCUCCAUGGUGUGUUCUUCCUCGUUCGUUCGUUCGUUCUUGGCAACCUGCGUGCUGCGUGCAUGGUCGAUCGUCUGCUGAUGUAUGCGUCGUGCCUGACAGUGUGUUGGUCAUGGGUUCAGCUUAAUUAGAUCGAUGAUGUCCAGCUUCAUGCAUGUACGUGUGUCAGUGUGAGUGAUCGAGUGAGAGUGAGGGUGUUGCAGUUUGAUUUGUGUCUGUUGGGCAUGUGUGCUGGCUGUGUUAGUUUGGGUUCAGCUAGAAGAUUGUGUUGUGGUGUGAGAGUGAAUGAGUCUAAAAAUGUGAAAUAAAAUUAUCCAGAGCAGAUGAUGUUUACUGCGUUAGUGCUAGCUGUGUAUGUGCUCUUGUUCUCUGAUAAAUGGUACAGAUAUGAGGCACUGUGCUACUGCUACUGGAGUAUCUGAUAAGUUAUAU
rnacentral:lncRNA from 1 species